rnacentral:rRNA from 1 species
AUGGGUCACCAUGCCGGCGAUGGCGACCAUGCCUGCGAGGGGAGCUGCAACCAUGUGGUGGCGAGCUAUGGCGACGGACGUGGGGGCGGUGACCAUGCCGGCGGUGGGCAGCACCGGCGAGGGACGGUGUUGCAGUCGACGCCGUGGAGCUACCAUGGAUGCAACACGGAGGCAAGACAAAAGGCUGCUAUGGUCAACGACCUUUUUGUUGAGAGCGGCGACGGCGAGCAUCGGCAGUGA